UUCACUGAGCUCGCGUCAGAGAGGGAGGGGUCUCUCAUUUUUUGAAAGGCAUGCGAGGUUUCCAUUUUUGGGGCUCUCUCUCCCUCGAUUGAACAAGCCCCUCCCUCACCCUUCAGCUUAUGAAGGGCCGAGCAACUAACGGCUAUCUCCUCUCCGAUGAUCGUGCCGCUAGUUCCGACCAGCUCCAGCCACUUGGACUUUAGGUCCAAUUCCUAUUUGUCCGACCCAACUGCAAUGCCAUACCUCAUCUUAACAACCUCCCACACCGACCUCGACCUCCCAGCCGAACUGCCAUCCACCGGCGAGUCCCAGCCUGCCGACCUGACCUCACUGACCUAAAACUCUUAUGUGGUCGGCCUACCUGUUGGCCUAUCGUAGCUCUGACCCGUCGACCUCACCAACUCAACACCGAUCAUGAACCUAUAGCCAUCCCAAGCUACUACUUAUCUUCGUCUUCCAUCCAAAUAAGAAUAAAGAGCAACUCAUAAAAAAAGGUGUAAGAGAUGGUGGUUGCUCUGUUUAGGCUACAACAAAUGAUGGAAGGAAAGGUGAAUGCAUUUCUAUGGAUAAUUUUCCUUUUCUGACUAUCGAAAAUUCAGGUUCGCCAUCUAAUCUUGACACCUGAAUUUUUAGCCACGUUGAUUGGUUACUUCUCCUUGCCUGAUUUGACAUUUAAGGGGAGUAUGAAAACACAUGAGCUGUGCUCAAAUUUUGGUAAAGUUUGGCAAACACCUAAGAGAAGAAUCUAAUGCCAUUUAUAAGUUUGAGAUACUUGACUCUAUAUUGAUUCUACCUGUGGAGAACCAUACAGAUUUUGUUUUACAAGUUAAUAUUCCAAGAUUUUAUACCUGCUAGUAAUCCUGAUCAUUUUUUUAUAUGAUAUUUAAUUUCUUUGUGUA